rnacentral:rRNA from 1 species
UACGUAGGGGGCAAGCGUUGUCCGGAAUCAUUGGGCGUAAAGAGCGUGUAGGCGGUUCGGUAAGUCGGCUGUGAAAGUCCAGGGCUCAACCCUGGGAUGCCGGUGGAUACUGUCGGGCUCGAGUCCGGAAGAGGAGUGUGGAUUCCUGGUGUAGCGGUGAAAUGCGCAGAUAUCAGGAGGAACACCAAUGGCGAAGGCAGCACUCGUGGAC